rnacentral:tRNA from 1 species
GCGCCCGUAGCUCAGGUGGAUAGAGCAACCGUCUCGUACCGGUAGGCCGUGGGUUCGAAUCCCUCCGGGCGCCCCA